AACGCGAAGAACCUUACCAAGGUUUGACAUGCAGGGAAAGCCGUAGAGAUAUGGUGUCCGUAAGGGUCCUGCACAGGUGGUGCAUGGCUGUCGUCAGCUCGUGUCGUGAGAUGUUGGGUUAAGUCCCGCAACGAGCGCAACCCUCGUCCUAUGUUGCCAGCGGGUAAUGCCGGGGACUCAUAGGAGACUGCCGGGGUCAACUCGGAGGAAGGUGGGGAUGACGUCAAGUCUGCAUGCCCCUUACGCGUAGGGCUGCUAACAUGCUACAAUGGCCGGUACAAAGGGCUGCUAAUCCGCGAGGAGGAGCGAAUCCCAAAAAGCCGGUCUCAGUUCGGAUUGGAGUCUGCAACCCGACUCCAUGAAGUCGGAGUCGCUAGUAAUCCCGGAUCAGCCACGCCGGGGUGAAUACGUUCCCGGGCCUUGUACACACCGCAUAC
rnacentral:rRNA from 1 species